rfam:Ictidomys tridecemlineatus contig038091, whole genome shotgun sequence.
GGGGUUGUAGCUCAGUGGGAGAGCACUCACCUAGCAUACGUGAGGCACUGGGUUUGAUUCUCAGCACCCCA